UAAUACGUAGGGGACGAGCGUUGUCCGGAAUUACUGGGCGUAAAGGGCGCGCAGGCUGUGCUGCAAGUCAGCUGUGAAAUGUCUGGGCUUAACCCGGGCAUGCGGUUGAGACUGCAGUGCUGGAGUGCUGUAGAGGCAAGUGGAAUUCCCAGUGUAGCGGUGAAAUGCGUAGAUAUUGGGAAGAACACCGGUGGCGAAGGCGACUUGCUGGGCAGCAACUGACGCUGAGGCGCGAAAGCCAGGGGAGCAAACGGG
rnacentral:rRNA from 1 species